GUUAAGAUAGCGUAUGUCGGAUACACUAUUAGAAAACACGCGGCACUUUUGUGAGAACGAUGCAAUGGGUAAUUUCAUUUGACGCAAAGUAAUCAUGCUUAUUACUCGUAUCGACAAACGAGUAUAAAACGUUAGCGCGUGUGGUACUUAAAAAAAUCAUCAUACGAUCUGAUGAUAAAUAUAAACGAUGUCAAUUGCGCUGCUUUUAUGAUUUGAAAAGAUGAAAAGGUGCCAAGAUUAAAUAAAUUACUCGGAGAUAUUACAAUAAAACAUGAUUUGCACACGUUUUUAACAGAAUAAAGAUUCUCUAUGAAAUAGAGUAAUACUUUUUUUAUAGAUGAUGUCCAUCAGUAGGUGUAGCUGAUAAAUACCAAUUUACAUGGUUAUUGUACCAAUAGGUUAGGUUGAUAGUAAAAAAAAUUAUUUGAAAUUUGAAACAAAAGGAGCACGAUUAAUUAUAACUGAUAGGUUCGAUAGAAUUGUGCUCAUCGCUGAGCAAUAUGGUAAGUUAGAGUGAGUUUGGCCAGGCUUUUACUUUACAAUACAUUAUUUCAUAUUUAAUUUGAUGGUUGAUAAAUUGUUUCUAAGAUAAUGUUCUAGAAUUAUCUUAACAAGACUGAUUAUAUAUACUUAAAAAGCCGCUGGCCAAUGUUUCUUUUCUUGUUUAAAAUUAUUCAAGUUUGCUGUAGCCUUCAUAUUGUUGCUAAAAAAAUGUUCUUAACUAAGUGUUAAAAAAUAAAAUAUUCUAAUAUGAUCUGAUUGACAAAUACAAUAGCAAUCAUUAUUUACACAAGACAAUGGCUUGGAGGAAAUCUCAGCCACAGAGGGAUAUGAGUCAGUGACUUAUUACUCAACAUUUAUUUGUUUUCAAUUGAUUACUAAUAUAUGAAGUAAUAUUGCUCCAAAUUGAUGAUGAAAUUUUAUUUUCUUGAUCUCGGCAAAACACAUUGUUUUUCGAUCAUUCUGGAAAUCAAAUAUUUGAAAUUCAUCAAGUAUGCUUUCGUCAAACGUUAAUGACUCUUAAACUUUGCGUGACAAUACAAACAUUAUUCGCUAAGUGACGUCAAAUGUGGCCGGAAAUAUUUCUCACGGGAUUUCAAGGAAUUUUAACGGCGGCCAAUAAACCUUGAAGGUUCAAAGAGUAAAGAAGAAGAAGGAAAGAAUGUGUCUCAGUUGCCAAUCGCGCAAAAUAUUGUUUCCAAUUCUUCAAGACUAAAUAAAAUCUAAAAUCAGAUUACGUGAUUUCAAUACCUGCAUUUAUAUUGGACAUUAUACUUUAUUAUCAGAGCUAUCGGAGCAUCAAUGAUUAGGAUUGAACGUUGCACACAGAUUAUAAAGAUCUUUUCUUCUUCUGAAAAAUACAUCCUAAAGUUCAUUAGUGUUCAGUUUCCAAGCUACUAUAUAUUAUG